GCCCAUCUAGCCCACUUGGUGGAGCACAAGACUUCUAACCUUGUGGUCGUGGGUUCAAACCCCACAGUUUGCA
rfam:Zea mays cultivar B73 chromosome 7, whole genome shotgun sequence.